rnacentral:rRNA from 1 species
GUCGAGCGAGAAAGUGACUUCGGUCACGAGUAGAGCGGCGGACGGGUGAGUAAUGCGUGGAUAAUCUACCCUUAAGUCUGGGAUAACUUCGGGAAACUGAAGCUAGUACCGGAUAUGACCACGCCAUUUGCGAAUGAAGUGGUGAAAGGUGGCUAGCUUGCUAGCUAUCACUUAGGGAUGAGUCCACGUCCCAUCAGGUUGUUGGUGAGGUAAAUGCUCACCAAGCCUAAGACGGGUAGCCGACCUUAGCGGGUGAACGGCCACACGGGGACUGAGACACGGCCCCGACUCCUACGGGAGGCAGCAGUGGGGAAUAUUGGGCAAUGGGCGAAAGCCUGACCCAGCGAUACCGCGUGAGGGAUGAAGGCUUUCGAGUUGUAAACCUCUGUCAAGAGGGAAGAUGGGUCUGUAAGCUAAUACCUUACAGACUUGACGGUACCUCUAAAGGAAGCCCCGGCUAACUCCGUGCCAGCAGCCGCGGUAAUACGGAGGGGGCAAGCGUUGCUCGGAAUUACUGGGCGUAAAGGGUCCGCAGGUGGUUUUGUAAGUUAGAUGUGAAAGCUCAGGGCUUAACCCUGAAAUUGCAUCUAAAACUG